rnacentral:rRNA from 1 species
UACGGGGGGGGCAAGCGUUGUUCGGAAUUACUGGGCGUAAAGGGCUCGUAGGCGGCCCACUAAGUCAGACGUGAAAUCCCUCGGCUUAACCGGGGAACUGCAUCUGAUACUGGAUGGCUUGAGUUCGGGAGAGGGAUGCGGAAUUCCAGGUGUAGCGGUGAAAUGCGUAGAUAUCUGGAGGAACACCGGUGGCGAAGGCGGCAUCCUGGACCGACACUGACGCUGAGGAGCGAAAGCCAGGGGAGCAAACGGG